rnacentral:lncRNA from 1 species
AAUCAAUAUCUACUUCACCACCCAUUAACAACUUGGAAAACGGUUUUCUUGGGUAAGACUUAAAUGAAGCAAAGUGCAACAUGGUUUCUAAAGGCCUACAAUUUUUAGUGGGAAUCUGCACAAUUAAACUGCAGUGCCUCAUGUUGUAAACUUCAUCUCUGGCUAUGCAAAACCUCUGAGAAGCACUUCCUUGUGUCAAUCUAAAUGCAGUUUCAUUGAUAUUAUUCAGAAAGUCUUCUUUCUGCCUACAUAUCUCACAAUUUCACUAGUUUCCUGCCCUCAAUUUCAUUCAAAACUUCCUUUUGUUUCUUCAUUUCCAGUCAUUACCUCAUGAAUUCUACUAAAUGGCUACAACUUCUAAUGGAUAUUAUCCAUUCCCUCAGUUUUACAUAACAGAAAGUGCACAGAUUCCAGAAAGAAUGAAGUUUCCUGUCUUUCUCCUUCCAAAACUCUCCAAUCUCAUAAUAAAAAUAUUGAAAAUAAUGUCUGAGUUUGGCUAUGAACAAGAUGUUUUCAGUAUCAAAAUACAAUGAUUGAAUACAGAUACGUGAUUAAGUAUUAACAGGAAAACAGUUUACUGUCGCUUACCUGUAUUACCCUUAACAAACUCUUAUUCAGGCAACCUUGAGGAAGAUGAAUUGGUGGAAGAGGAAGAAGGGCAUGCAAAGAGGUACAUAAUAAAUUCCAUGAAACAUAAACAAGAAAGUGAAAACCUGGGCCUAAAUAGAUAUGAGGAAAAUCUAUGGGCAGCAUUUCCCUCAAGCACAAAAAAGGAGUCACCUAAAUGGAAAGAAGAACAGGAGAAGGAAGAUACUAGAAGGAAGCUGCAAACGACAGUUUUGGGGGAUGUGAAACAUUCUGUUUCUAGUAAUAAACAUCAAGUCCGUAAAGUUUCAGAAGACACAGCUUAUGCGAGAAAAGCCCAACCCACAGUAGGAGCAGAGAAAAAGGAAGAGUCUGAUUCUCCCUGGGAUUCUGAGCCGUGUUCUGAAGGUCCGAGGAAAGCAUCUCCUCCUGUGUUUCUCCCACCUGCAGUUGAACAUGGAGUACGCUUGCAGAGUGUUUCAGGGGAGCACAACAAGGGUCACAAAUGGUGGUGCUGGGUUCCUAAUGAUUAUGUAUGAUGCAAGUUUCUUUAUUAAUUUUGUUGCUGUGUUCUCCUUGAUCUGCACAAACAAGUAGGUAGUCUAGUGUGUCUUGUGUGUGACACUAUUGAUUCCCUUUCUAAUGGGUACUAUCAGAUUGAAAAGCUGUGGUUUUUCAGGGCUUCAGCCAAGAGCUGACCUGAUUCAAAGUCAGAGAAGACUCUUCCAGUGCCUCACCUUGUUUCAGUUGUAAAAUGUAGGAGAUCUCUCCUGUGCUACUCGUUUGUAUGCUUGAGAGCAUGACCUCAGAGAGAGGUGGGUGCUUAGGUACUCACCCCAGGGUCU